AUUGAACGCUGGCGGCAUGCUUUACACAUGCAAGUCGAACGGCAGCGCGGGCUUUGGCCUGGCGGCGAGUGGCGAACGGGUGAGUAAUACAUCGGAACGUGCCCAGUAGUGGGGGAUAGCUCGGCGAAAGCCGGAUUAAUACCGCAUACGACCUGAGGGUGAAAGCGGGGGAUCUUCGGACCUCGCGCUAUUGGAGCGGCCGAUGGCAGAUUAGCUAGUUGGUGGGGUAAAGGCCUACCAAGGCGACGAUCUGUAGCUGGUCUGAGAGGACGACCAGCCACACUGGGACUGAGACACGGCCCAGACUCCUACGGGAGGCAGCAGUGGGGAACUUUGGACAAUGGGCGAAAGCCUGAUCCAGCAAUGCCGCGUGUGUGAUGAAGGCCUUCGGGUUGUAAAGCACUUUUGGCGGGAACGAAAAGGACUGUGCCAAUACCACGGUUCGAUGACGGUACCCGCAGAAUAAGCACCGGCUAACUACGUG
rnacentral:rRNA from 1 species